AGCUAACACAACCAUGAGUUUCCGUGUCUAACUUUGAUCAUCCGUCUUAUUUGAAUUUUUUUUAUAAAUACUAUUUUUGUUGUCAUGAGAUGAUAAAACAUAAAUAGAACUUUAUGCGCGACUUCUGUUUUUUUUUAAUUUUUUCUUAAAUAAAACGGACAGUUAGUUAGGUAUAGGAAACCAUAAAUGUACUUAAA
rfam:Oryza sativa (indica cultivar-group) chromosome 3, whole genome shotgun sequence.